rnacentral:sRNA from 1 species
GGAUAUGUAGGCUAUCUGGCUGUGACUCUGUCACCCCAGAUUGCCAGGUUGAUCCGGUUGAUCUGUGUAGGCUAGUAUCUCCUUCCUCCCUCACCCCUCCAUGUUUGUCCCUCCCAGAGCUAUGCUCUUGGUUGAAGAGGAUGACCACCCUUGAUAGAGGAGGAUGGUUUCUCCGGUCAAGGUUACUCCCCAGCAAGAACCUCUGGACAGGCUCUCUAGAUAGCAACUCAGUAAGGCUGGUUCCAAUGAUGAGACAGAGUUCU